rnacentral:rRNA from 1 species
GACCUCGGAUCAGGUAGGGAUACCCGCUGAACUUAG